GAUGAAGAACGUAGCGAAAUGCGAUAAGUAAUGUGAAUUGCAGAAUUCAGUGAAUCAUCGAAUCUUUGAACGCACCUUGCGCCCUUUGGCCAUUCCGAAGGGCAUGCCUGUUUGAGUAUCAUGAACACCUCAACUCUUUAUGGUUUUCCAUGAUGAGCUUGGACUCUGGGGGUUUUGCUGGCUCACAGUCGGCUCCUCUAAAAUGAAUCAGCUUACCAGUGUUUGGUGGGUAUCAUGGGUGUGAUAACUAUCUACGCUAGUGGUUUUUCCACCAGGUAACCUUCAGCAGUGGAGGUUCGCUGGAGCUCAUAGAUGUCUCUCCUCAGUGAGGACAGCCCUUUGAAUGUUUGAUCUCAAAUCAGGUAGGACUACCCGCUGAACUUAAGCAUAUCAAUAAGCGGAGGA
rnacentral:misc_RNA from 1 species